GCCUGUUUAGCUCAGUGGCAGAGCACUGGUCUUGUAAACCAGGGGUCGUGAGUUCAAUCCUCACAAGAGGCA
rnacentral:tRNA from 1 species